rnacentral:rRNA from 1 species
AGCAGCCGCGGUAAUUCCAGCUCCAAUAGCGUAUAUUAAAGUUGUUGCAGUUAAAAGCUCGUAGUUGAAUUUCGAGACCGGUUUACUGGUCGUGCUUUUGUACGUACUGGUAUAAUCGGUUUCUCUCUUCUGACGAACUAUAAUGCCAUUAAUUUUGUGUUAUAGGGAAUCAGGACUGUUACUUUGAAAAAUUAGAGUGUUUAAAGCAGGCUCACGCUUGAAUACAUUAGCAUGGAAUAACGGAAUAGGACGUUUGAUUCUAUUUUGUUGGUUUCUAGGAUCGACGUAAUGAUUAAUAGGGAUAGUUGGGGGCAUUAGUAUUCAAUUGUCAGAGGUGAAAUUCUUGGAUUUAUUGAAGACUAACUACUGCGAAAGCAUUUGCCAAGGAUGUUUUCAUUAAUCAAGAACGAAAGUUAGGGAUCGAAGACGAUCAG